UUGGCUUGGAAGCAGCCAUUCAUUUAAAGAGUGCGUAACAGCUCACUAGUCGAGGGACUCCGCAUGGAUAAUAAUCGGGCAUAAGCGUAUUACCGAAGCUAUGGAAUAUCAUUGGUAGGGGAGCAUUCCAGUCGCCGCAGAAGAUACACCUUGAGGUGUGUUGGAGGUUCUGGAAAAGCAAAUGUAGGUAUAAGUAACGAUAAAGGGGGCGAGAAACCCCCUCGCCGUAAGACCAAGGCUUCCUGAUCAACGCUAAUCGGAUCAGGGUAAGUCGGGACCUAAGGAUAAUCCGAAAGGAGAGGCCGAUGGAAGAAACGGUUAAUAUUCCGUUACUACGUUAAAUAGUGACGGGGAGACGGAGAAGUGACACAUCCGCCUGCUGACGGAAUAGCAGGUUAAAGAGGGUAGAUAAUGGUGGUAUAGGCAAAUCCGUACAGCCAGUCGAACUUGAUAGUACCGAGCGUCCUCGGACAAUCGGAUAGCGAUGGUAAGCAGGCUCCCAAGAAAAUCCUCUAAACAUAUAUUUAACGUACCCGUACCACAAACGGACACACGUGGUCGAGUAGAACAUACUAAGGCGCUCGAGAGAUUCACGGUUAAGGAACUAGGCAAAUUGACCCUGUAACUUCGGGAAAAAGGGUCCCUGCUGAAAGGCAGGGCGCAGAGAAUAGGUCCAGGCAACUGUUUAACAAAAACACAGGGCUGUGCAAAAUUUAAAGAUGAAGUAUACAGCCUGACACCUGCCCGGUGCUGGAAGGUUAAGAGGAGAAGUCAUUCGCAAGAAGAAGCUUUGAAUUGAAGCCCCAGUAAACGGCGGCCGUAACUAUAACGGUCCUAAGGUAGCGAAAUUCCUUGUCGGGUAAGUUCCGACCUGCACGAAUGGUGUAAUGAUCCGGACACUGUCUCAACCGUGAGCUCGGUGAAAUUGUAGUAUCGGUGAAGAUGCCGAUUACCCGCAACGGGACGAAAAGACCCCGUGAACCUUUACUGCAACUUAACAUUGUAAUUGGGUAUCCGAUGUGUAGGAUAGUCCGGAGGCAGAGAAGCAGGUACGCCAGUAUUUGUGGAGCCGCCCUUGAAAUACGGACCUUUGGCUAUUUGAUUACUAACCCGCAGAAGCGGGGACACUGUUUGGUGGGUAGUUUGACUGGGGUGGUCGCCUCCAAAAGAGUAACGGAGGCUUCUAAAGGUGCCCUCAGGCCGAUUGGUAACCGGUCGCAGAGUGUAAUGGCAAAAGGGCGCUUGACUGAGAGACAUACAAGUCGACCAGGUAGGAAACUAGAGCAUAGUGAUCCGGUGGUUUCGCAUGGAAGAGCCAUCGCUCAAAGGAUAAAAGGUACUCCGGGGAUAACAGGCUGAUCGCUCCCAAGAGCUCAAAUCGACGGA
rnacentral:rRNA from 1 species